rnacentral:rRNA from 1 species
GGGUUGUGAGGUUAAGCGACUAAGCGUACACGGUGGAUGCCCUGGCAGUCAGAGGCGAUGAAGGACGUGCUAAUCUGCGUAAAGCGACGGUAAGGUGAUAUGAACCGCUACAGCCGUCGAUGUCCGAAUGGGGAAACCCGG